rnacentral:rRNA from 1 species
AUUGAACGCUGGCGGCAUGCCUUACACAUGCAAGUCGAACGGCAGCAUAGGAGCUUGCUCCUGAUGGCGAGUGGCGAACGGGUGAGUAAUAUAUCGGGACGUGCCCUAGAGUGGGGGAUAACUAGUCGAAAGACUAGCUAAUACCGCAUACGAUCUACGGAUGAAAGUGGGGGAUCGCAAGACCUCAUGCUCCUGGAGCGGCCGAUAUCUGAUUAGCUAGUUGGUGGGGUAAAAGCUCACCAAGGCGACGAUCAGUAGCUGGUCUGAGAGGACGACCAGCCACACUGGGACUGAGACACGGCCCAGACUCCUACGGGAGGCAGCAGUGGGGAAUUUUGGACAAUGGGGGCAACCCUGAUCCAGCAAUGCCGCGUGAGUGAAGAAGGCCUUCGGGUUGUAAAGCUCUUUUGUCAGGGAAGAAACGGUUCUGGAUAAUACCUGGGACUAAUGACGGUACCUGAAGAAUAAGCACCGGCUAACUACGUGCCAGCCGCCGCAGUAA